rnacentral:misc_RNA from 1 species
UCACCCCUCAAGCCUAGCUUGGUGUUGGACGGCGGCUGUGGGCUUCCCACGACCCCUCCCAAAGUUAAUGACGGCGGCCUGUUAACCCCCGGUACACUGAGCUUCUUCACAGGGCACGUAUCGGUUUCAAGGGUGGCGGGACCCGGUCUUCUUCCUUAACGGAAAAUUUUCUAAGG